UACGUAGGGUGCAAGCGUUGUCCGGAAUUAUUGGGCGUAAAGAGCUCGUAGGCGGUUUGUUGCGUCGGCUGUGAAAAUCCCGAGGCUCAACCUCGGGUCUGCAGUCGAUACGAGCAAACUAGAGUGUUGCAGGGGGAGACUGGAAUUCCUGGUGUAGCGGUGAAAUGCGCAGGAUAUCAGGAGGAACACCGGUGGCGAAGGCGGGGUCUCUGG
rnacentral:rRNA from 1 species